rnacentral:rRNA from 1 species
AUGGUGCGGAGAGCAAGAGCGAUAAGCAUGUCACCAUCAAAUGAUAUCCCUCCUAAGCCACCACUGUAUGGUCCUCGUCUUUUAACCUUUGGUGCCCCACUGACUGUUCCAACAGGCAAUGCUGCUCGCAGUGCAUCCCAGCUUUCGAGACGAUCAUCUAACUCUCCACUGACCUGCAUAGUGUUCAAAGUGAAAUUACAUUGGUGUUCGACAUAA